rnacentral:rRNA from 1 species
GAUGAACGCUAGCUACAGGCUUAACACAUGCAAGUCGAGGGGAAACGACAUCGAAAGCUUGCUUUUGAUGGGCGUCGACCGGCGCACGGGUGAGUAACGCGUAUCCAACCUUCCCGCAAGUAAGGGAUAACCCGUAGAAAUGCGGCCUAAUACCUUAUGUUUCCUUAGAGGGCAUCUGAUGAGGAACAAAGAUCCGUCGCUUGCGAAUGGGGAUGCGUCUGAUUAGUUAGUCGGCGGGGUAACGGCCCACCAAGGCGACGAUCAGUAGCCGGUCUGAGAGGAUGAACGGGCCACAUUGGGACUGAGACACGGCCCAGACUCCUACGGGAGGCAGCAGUGGGGAAUCUUCCGCAAUGGACGAAAGUCUGACGGAGCAACGCCGCGUGAACGAUGACGGCCU